rnacentral:rRNA from 1 species
GUGGGGAAUAUUGGACAAUGGGCGAAAGCCUGAUCCAGCCAUGCCGCGUGUGUGAAGAAGGUCUUCGGAUUGUAAAGCACUUUAAGUUGGGAGGAAGGGCAGUAAGUUAAUACCUUGCUGUUUUGACGUUACCGACAGAAUAAGCACCGGCUAACUUCGUGCCAGCAGCCGCGGUAAUACGAAGGGUGCAAGCGUUAAUCGGAAUUACUGGGCGUAAAGCGCGCGUAGGUGGUGUUGUAAGUUGGAGGUGAAAUCCUCGGGCUCAACCUGGGAACUGCCUCCAAAACUGCAUGACUAGAGUACGGUAGAGGGUAGUGGAAUUUCCUGUGUAGCGGUGAAAUGCGUAGAUAUAGGAAGGAACACCAGUGGCGAAGGCGACUACCUGGACUGAUACUGACACUGAGGUGCGAAAGCGUGGGGAGCAAACAGGAUUAGAAACCCGAGUAGUCC